GACGAACGCUGGCGGCGUGCUUAACACAUGCAAGUCGAACGGGCUCUGUCUGGCUGUGUGCUGGGUGGGGUUAGUGGCGAACGGGUGAGUAAUACGUGAGUAACCUGCCCUCUUCUUUGGGAUAAGCCUUGGAAACGGGGUCUAAUACUGGAUAUUCCUGUCUGGUCGCAUGGCUGGGUGGGGAAAGUUUUUUCGGUGGGGGAUGGGCUCGCGGCCUAUCAGCUUGUUGGUGGGGUGAUGGCCUACCAAGGCGUCGACGGGUAGCCGGCCUGAGAGGGUGACCGGCCACACUGGGACUGAGAUACGGCCCAGACUCCUACGGGCGGCAGCAGUGGGGGAUAUUGCACAAUGGGCGCAAGCCUGAUGCAGCGACGCCGCGUGGGGGAUGACGGCUUUCGGGUUGUAAACCUCUUUCGUCGGGGGACAAGGCUCUGCUUGGUGGUGGGGUUGAGGGUACCCGGUGAAGAAGCGCCGGCUAACUACGUG
rnacentral:rRNA from 1 species